rnacentral:rRNA from 1 species
CCAGACUCCUACGGGAGGCAGCAGUGAGGAAUAUUGGUCAAUGGGCGAGAGCCUGAACCAGCCAAGUCGCGUGAGGGAGUACUGCCCUAUGGGUUGUAAACCUCUUUUGUCGGGGAGCAAAAGCCGGACGUGUCCGGCUGUGAGAGUACCCGAAGAAAAAGCACCGGCUAACUCCGUGCCAGCAGCCGCGGUAAUACGGGGGGUGCAAGCGUUGUCCGGAAUCAUUGGGCGUAAAGAGUUCGUAGGCGGCACGUAAAGUCUGGUGUUAAAGGCAGAGGCUCAACUUCUGUACGGCACUGGAUACUUGCGAGCUAGAAUGCGGUAGAGGUAAAGGGAAUUCCUGGUGUAGCGGUGAAAUGCUUAGAUAUCAGGAGGAACAUCGGUGGCGUAAGCGCUUUACUGGGCCGUAAUUGACGCUGAGGAACGAAAGCCAGGGUAGCAAAUGGGAUUAGAUACCCGUGUA